rnacentral:rRNA from 1 species
GAUGAACGCUGGCGGUAUGCUUAACACAUGCAAGUCGUACGGUCACUUCGGUGAUAGUGGCGGACGGGUGAGUAACGCGUGAGAAUCUGUCUUCAGGUCGGGGACAACAGUUAGAAAUGACUGCUAAUACCGGAUGUGCCUAUGGGUGAAAGAUUUAUUGCCUGAAGAAGAGCUCGCGUCAGAUUAGCUAGUAGGUGGUGUAAGAGACUACCUAGGCUUUGAUCUGUGGCUGGUCUGAGAGGACGAUCAGCCACACUGGAACUGAGACACGGUCCAGACUCCUACGGGAGGCAGCAGUGGGGAAUUUUCCGCAAUGGGCGAAAGCCUGCGGAGCAAUACCGCGUGAGGGACGAAGGCUUUUGGGUCGUAAACCUCUUUUAUUAGGGAAGAUAAUGACGGUACCUAAUGAAUAAGCAUCGGCUAACUCUGUGCCAGCAGCCGCGGUAAU